UUCCACUCUGUCCUUAUGCUAAGCAAUCCCAGUUUGUUCUGUCUUUCCUUGUAGGUUACGACUGAUAUAGAUUUUUUUUUGCUAUCAACUGCUCAUUCCUCUGUGCUUGAUCUCAGACUUGUAAUCAGAGUUUCUACCAGCAGACAGGAAAGGCACAUAGCAGACACCUCCUGACCUCCCUGUCUCACAUGGUGACUCAUUUCCAGGGAAAGAGGGAUAAAGAAAGGAAAGACCAUUAAGGCAAUACUCAAUCCUUUGCUAUUAUUCCAGCUUAGUGGGAAACAAGUGAAGGCUACGUAAAGGUAAAGACAAGGGUCUUGAUUUAUCCUGAUAACCCUUUCCCAAACUCCUGCUCUUGGUCCUGUUGCAGAUGUGGCUGGGCCAGCAGAGUGGUGAUCUGAGCCAGAGUGCCUGCUCUUAUGUUCUGACUUUUCAUGACAAUAGAAAAAAUAACCAACAACAUGGUGCUUUAAAUCACUAACUUGCCCUCACACUCCCUUCUGAGGCACAUAAACAGGAUGUCACUACCUGCAUUUACAGUUUGUGAAAAUGGGAUAAAAUUGUUCCAUGAGAUGCUUCAUCCCUUGAAGCUGCGUGGUUCUCACCUGUGCACGUGUCAGAACUGGCCAAGGAAGAUUGGGGUCCUUUCAUUGAAGGCCUGAAGUGAAAAAAAACCAGGACAGAGCAGCAGAAAUGGGAGCUCUGCAAACACAAGGCGUUGCCAUAGGAUGAACUCAUGUCUUGCCAGCGUGCCCAUAAGCCAGAGAUCUUGUCUCACGUUGCCAUAUGUCACACACUAUACAUAAAUCAGUUUGGUUUUGGCUGCCUACUACUUCUCUUAUAAUCUCUUGUGUAUCUUUCCAUGUGUAAUUAUGAGUCAAGCCCUUGGAGGAGAGGGAAAGUCAUUAAAUGUCCUGCUGGCAUUUCCUUUGAGAAGAAACUGCAUCUGCCACUGGAGAUGCUGGAGGAAGAUGUGGGAAAAGGAGAAGUAAAAAGAGGAGAAGCUACACCUCCAGGUUAAAAUCCAAAGGGUUUGAGUCCUCACUUUGGUUCCAUGCUGAAAAAGAAAAAGGCUGAGGAGAGGCAGCUCAUGGUGCUGAUGUCCCAGGUGCCACAGUGGGUGAAUGUUGUGGGCUGUGCCUGAGGAGAUCUCCUGCUCCUGGACUGGUUAUCAGGUGUUCCAGUGGUUUUCCAAGGGAAAGGAAGAGGAAUAGCCAAAUCAGUUGUGGAUAGAUAGUCAGGACUCACCUUGCCUAAUUGCAGAUGUCUGUAUGGAAGAUGUCUGCCCCUGAGCCCUGCCAGGCAGGGCUCGUUUCAUCACUCAGAUGCAGGUAUUGAAUUAAAGAGGCUCUGAGAAAUCCAGUUUCUCUCCCCUGAUGAGAAGAGGAGC